GACGCCCACCCGAAGGGCUUUUGCGACCUUCCUCACCGCGAACAGCUCGACGCCACCCCUCCCCUCUGUUCUGAUCUCAUUCUGCCUCGCUGCGCUCCGACAGCGAGCAAAGAACUCUUCCCCGUGCAGAAGAGCGGUGUGGCGGAUCGCCCUUUUCCUCCCGACCGCCAGCCAGGCCGACCGGCCCCGCUCCACGGCGCGGCAGCAGAAAAAAAGGAGGAGUGAAGUCUCCCAGCGAACUGCAGCUGCCCUUGAUGUGGAGAACCAAUGAUUUGGGUACUACAUGUUAUUUCAGCUUCUUGAUGGGACAAGUCAAAACAAAGAGGAAACGCUGAGACAGUGGACUACAGCUUUGGAAUCACUGCAAUACAGCUGUGUAGAUUUUAAGGCCAGAAAAAAAAGAAAAAAAAAAAGGCAAGGGUCAUCUAUUCUGUCUUCCUGCAUUACAUAGGCCAAAAAAAAUUCCACCCCAUCAUUCUUGCUUUCAAGUCUAGGGAAUACAGAUCAUGUGUACUGUUGUUUGCCAGUGUGCUGUAAUGCAUUCUAGCAGCACUUAAGACUGUUCCCUCAUCUUACUAAAACGCUUUCCAUCAGCUCAUUAUUUCCAGGCUUUUCUGAAGCUGUAGCCAGGAUAGAUAUGAUAAGCGUUGUUAUAAAUACCUGUCUUGAUAGCAGUGUUAACAAUUUGAAAACAAAUAUAGUCACUUCUUACAGUUUUCUCUCUUACAUGUUGUAUUUCACAUGCUCAGUUCCAGUGAAGCAAGAUAGAAUCAUGCUUGUAACAGACUGAUGGCUUGAAAAUAGUUUGCUGUAGUAACUGGGUUGCCAUUAAUGCUUUAGCAUCUGGGCAAACAAACUGGUGAAUAUUUACACAAAGAGUUCCAGCCCUAAAGUUAUAAUAAAUUUAGGAAUCUUUGGCUCUAUCGUACUCCCUUGGCAGAACCCCAAUGCUCCUACGUGCAUUAAUAUUCCUGUAGCUGAUUGUCUAAAACCAGUUUAAUACAGUGCUCAGCCUGCAGUGUCUGUAUUUAUAAAUCCAGCUUCUCUGAAUCUGAUCCAAAGCCCACUGACAUCAGUGAAAAACUCCCAGUGACUUUGAACGGAUAUGAACUAGGCCUUCCAUGAGUAUAAAUCUGCUCAUUUCAGUGCAUGCAGAGGGUGAAACAAAAGCAUCUAAGACUGCUGGAGCAAAGGAAGGGGCUUUGCCCAGUCUGUUCCCCCCCACACAGCCAUCUGUCCCCCCCCCCCCCCGAUAGUGCUGACUUCCUCAGUUUGGAGGUGUAAUAUGAGUCAUACUAUCAGGAGCAGCAGUUUCUGCGUAAUCACAGCAAUGACCAGCAUAGAAGCAGCAAAGCACAUCGCAAACCUGAACAUUUCCGUGCAGCAAAGCAAUUCAGGACACAAAACCUCGUUCAGUAGCCUUGACCAGGAGCACAGAGACAUGACCCGUGCUUGCCUUGUUGUUUAUAUAAAUCACAGUGACUUUGAACUGUGGCUAGGAGUGCCUCUCAUUCUGAAGGAAGAGAGUGGUUCCUUAAAGCAUUAAAAGGUGUCAGUUGUUUUAGGGGGAUGUAUGUUGAUACAUCCAAAGGGGUCUAAUGCAAGGAAGCAUACAACAUCCCUAAAUAUCAGAUGUCUUUGAGUUGUUUCAUGAAACAAUUAGGGUUUGAGGUACUUAAAAAUAGCUCUAGAACAUAGGCUGCUGAACUCAUUUCAGGUUAUUAUUUAUAUUACUCUAUAUCUGUGAGCUAAAAACAACAACUCGUGUUGUUAGAAAGUAGUCACCCACCAGCCGCUCAGUGUGGACAAUACUGUGUUCAGAUGUCCCAAAAGUCCUCUAGUUACAGCCCAUGAAAGAGUCAUCCUCUGAAAUGCUUUUCAACACGUUCUCCUAAGGCUCUGACAGGCUGAAGGUCACUUUGCCUGCAAUCUCUGGUUAUGAUGUGCAGGAAGACCCGAAUGUGUCUGCGUCAGAGUGCACAGCACCCUCAUGUGGAAAGCCAAAGCACAUGCACACCCAUCUCUUGGUAUGACCAAACUCCAUUUAUACGCAUAUGAAUGGAUUAUGGCAUGGAAAAUAGCGUGGCAAUAAAUAAAGUAACUGUUGCAAAUUACAUGCUGCCAAAACGGUAUACUACAGAGUGGAGCACUGGGUAUUACUGCGGGGGAAAUAACUGAAAGGCACAAUUAGGUUUUGAUGGUUUGUGACUGGUGGCAUAGGAGGUUAUGUGGGCUGGGUUCCUCCUUUUUUCCAGCAGAUUUAUGUAGGAGAAAGUAAUAAAAUAAUACAGAUCAAGGAACAGAGAAUGGCCAACAGCAAACAAGGGAGGCUGAAAGAGAUAAGACAGCAGUCAGCAGUUCCAAGCAAGGAGGAAAUUGGCUGUGUGCUUAAUUUGGGACAAUAAAGUUUGUGUUUGUUCUCAGGAUUUGUAAAUGCAUUUAUCUAUCUUCCAUACAAAGUGCAGAUGUGCUCUUUGUAGCAGUGACUGAGGCACCAAAGGAAAGCACCUUCCUUUCUGAACCAUACACUUGCUCACUGUUGCCCAUCACCUCACCUCCCUGUGUAGGGGCUGGAUUCUGGGAUGCAUGACAAGAAACCUUGAUGAGAAAAAUCCUAGAAAUCCUCCCUGCACUGGUUUUCAGGGGAUUUAGAAACAGGAAUAUAUCUGCUUGUGUAGGUGAAAGAAAGGUGCAGAAGAUCUGCUGGUAAAGAGGCACCUGUGGAUACCCACAGCAGCACAGCUCCAGAUGCAUGAGGACUUGCUAGUGUGAGCUGUGCUGUGAGAGUUCGGAGUGGCCGCAGAGCAAUGCUCUCCAAUACCAUUGUUCUGGCAGCUGAUCAUGCAUUUAUCUUUCCAAUAAUAAAGCUUCACUUUUGCCAAAACUCAAACACAGAAUGGAUCGUGUGCUUUUUGUUAGUGACUCUGUGAUGAGCCAAAUGCCAGCCUUUUCUUGCUGUUAAAUUGCCUCUCUCACUUUGAUUUCAUAUGCACAAAUGCAGACAGGGCUGUGCUUCCUCACCUCACAGAGUAACAAGUUACGUAAACAGGGUCCACUUCCACUUUUUAGUGACUCCCAAAUGCUCUAAUAGAAGUGCCAUAAUCUUCUGCAAUGAUCCCAAACAUUGCAGCUCGCAGUGAUGUUAGACUGUUUUGGAACAAAACUGAAUUCUUUUGCCCUUGAUUACUUUUCAGUCUGUUUACCUCUGCACAUUCCAGUGACCUUUUCAGACCUCAGAGGGAGGUUGUUUCAGCAGUUCAAGUGUUGAUAAUGUUUGCAAUGCUGUGGUAGUCAGGGAGAGUGGCAGUGAGAGGUGACCCGAGGUGUGAAACGCUGCUUGCACACUGGGGGACUUCUUGGGAAGUUUCUCUUGUUCCCUGCAGUGGAUAUGGAGGCAGUUGUUCCUCUCAACCCCAUUUUAAGGAAGACCAGGGCUGGGUGAUAAGGUCCUGACUGUCCUGUUUCAGAAAAGCACAGAAAUUGCUUCCUCGGGUGCUAUGAGAAGUCCACGAACCUGCUGUUCCUGCAGUCUGCUCUGCCUGCAGCGUGGGCAAAGAACAGGCAUUGUCCUUGGACAUCCAGACAGUUGAGCUGUGCAGACUGCUUUCCUGAUGUGAACCUAAGAGACGAUGCUAACUUUAUAUUCCAGCAAGGGCAGAAUCUCUACAAUGCCAUGGGCAGUACCACCGAGAAGGUGAUGCUUCACUGAUGUAUCUAUUAUGACUACAAUCAAACAGCAAGCAAUGUUGAACAAUUUUACGGUAGCACGACCUUUAAGUAAUAGUGAAACCCAGCCUAUAUCAGUAUCCUCCAGUCAGCUGCUGAGCCCCUCCCCACAGCUGUUUUGCAGCAUCUCUCCUGCGUUUGGAUCGGAAUCACAAGAAUCCUCAGGUGGUGUCUGCAUUCACACUGCCCUCUCCAGCACGACUUGGCUCUGCCUGUUUCCUCCUGCAGUGUGGAAAGUCGUCUGGGAACCUUUAUGCUGGCUUUGUGCUGUGCAUGGAUCACAUCCUAUGAAGUUGAACUCCUGGGUGUUCAGUAACCUGGCCUGACGUUUCUUCUGUGCAACCACAUCAAUACAGUGUUGCUUCUGAACUUCCUGUUAGGUAGCUGAAGUUUCCCACUGCACUGUCUGCAGCUGAUGCCUUGAGAGCAGCUCUGUCCUAAGUAAACUGAGGACGACUGUUCUCUUCACAGCAUAAUUCCAAUGAACUAUGUAGGAAUCAUUCCAAGAUAUGUGUUUUGUCUCGGGAGAUAAAAGUGGCGCUGUUGAGUUCUUUGCAUGUAUUAAAAUAAGAAUUUCCAGACAGAUGAUGAUAAUAGAAAUUACAGUCGGAGCAAGAGAGCAAAACAUUACGUGCAUAACGAGCAGCUGCCUUAAUUUGCUAGAUAAAUGCCAAUAUACCAUCACUAAGUCCGAUUAGCUCCUCAGGUAGGUCAUGUUGUACUUUAUGAAACAGACCUGUUAUAUUGUGAUGUUUUCAAUUGCUGUCUAAAUAACCCAUCAAAAAACCUAUUUUUAAGUUCAAA